rnacentral:misc_RNA from 1 species
CUUCGCCGACCGAUUUCAUCGAGGUGGUCAGGGUGGUGGAGGCGCCGGGGAAUUUCUCAAACGCGAAGCGCGGAAUCUUGGUGACCACGUAAUCGAUGGUGGGCUCGAACGACGCCGGCGUCGCGCCGCCGGUGAUGUCGUUGGCGAUUUCGUCCAGCGUGUAGCCGACUGCGAGCUUGGCCGCGACUUUCGCGAUCGGAAAG